AAAGAUGCUUGUUUUGUAUUGGACUAGUAUCCCAAAGGUCGCCGGUUCGAUUCCCACCGUGGUCAGGCUAACCUUUCAGCUUGCCCGGUGUAGAUAUACACUCGUAUAGAGUAACAUCAAAAACAGUAUAUUCACCUGAAUACAUAACAUCGGAACACACAAAAAAUAACACUGGAUAUAUUUUUCUCUUUAGUUAAAAGAGAGUAAAGUAAGUCUGCGGAUCUACCGAGGACAUCAAACCUCUGCCAACUCAGGACCCGUUCCGUUUUGUAACUUUGUCAAUGUCAAACUGAGUUCUAGUGUUAAACCCGGAGCUGGAGUGACAGGGAGCAUGGGGACAAUCCUUUUAGAGAACCCUAAAGGAGAUUAUUUCAUAACUUAUGAAGAAUUAAUCAAACAGGU